rfam:Camelus ferus unplaced genomic scaffold scaffold2216, whole genome shotgun sequence.
GAAGGUAUAGGUUAGUGGUAGAGUGCAUGCUUAGCAUGCAUGAGCUCCUGGGUUCAAUCCCCAGUACCUCCA